rnacentral:rRNA from 1 species
GAUGAACGCUGGCGGCGUGCCUAAUACAUGCAAGUCGAGCGAACGGACGAGAAGCUUGCUUCUCUGAUGUUAGCGGCGGACGGGUGAGUAACACGUGGAUAACCUACCUAUAAGACUGGGAUAACUUCGGGAAACCGGUGCUAAAACCGGAUCAUAUUUUGAACCGCAUGGUUCAAAAGUGAAAGACGGUCUUGCUGUCACUUAUAGAUGGAUCCGCGCUGCAUUAGCUAGUUGGUAAGGUAACGGCUUACCAAGGCAACGAUGCAUAGCCGACCUGAGAGGGUGAUCGGCCACACUGGAACUGAGACACGGUCCAGACUCCUACGGGAGGCAGCAGUAGGGAAUCUUCCGCAAUGGGCGAAAGCCUGACGGAGCAACGCCGCGUGAGUGAUGAAGGUCUUCGGAUCGUAAAACUCUGUUAUUAGGGAAGAACAUAUGUGUAAGUAACUGUGCACAUCUUGACGGUACCUAAUCAGAAAGCCACGGCUAACUACGUG